UACGGGGGGAGCAAGCGUUGUUCGGAUUUACUGGGCGUAAAGGGCGCGUAGGCGGCACCGCAAGUCGACUGUGAAAUCUCCGGGCUUAACCCGGAAAGGUCAGCCGAUACUGCGGGGCUAGAGUGCAGAAGGGGCAACUGGAAUUCUCGGUGUAGCGGUGAAAUGCGUAGAUAUCGAGAGGAACACCGGUGGCGAAGGCGGCAUCCUGGACCAUGACUGACGCUGAGGAGCGAGAGCCAGGGGAGCAAACGGG
rnacentral:rRNA from 1 species